GGGGGGGGGGGGGGGGGGGGGGGGGGGGGGCGGGGGGGGCGGGGGGGGGCGGGGGGGGGGGGGGGCGCGGGGGGCGGGGGGGGGAGGGACGCGGGAGUGGCCGGCCGGUGGCGUGGGGAUAGCGUCAGGGAACUGGGGCUACUGCCGGAGAGGCGCUCCGGCUGCAUGGUGGGGGCUGGACAGUUGCGGCGGUUGGGGAUGGUCUCGAGGCUGCUCGGCGUGUUGGUGGGGUAGUGGCUUACCACGGCCUUGACGGGUCGCCGGCCUGAGAGGGUGGCCGGCCCCAUUGGGACUGAGAGACGGCCCAGACUCCUACGGGAGGCAGCUGGGGGGAAUAUUGCACAAUGGGCGGAAGCCUGAUGCAGCAACGCCGCGUGCGGGAUGACGGCCUUCGGGUUGUAAACCGCUUUCGCCUGUGACGAAGCGUGAGUGACGGUAAUGGGUAAAGAAGCACCGGCUAACUACGUG
rnacentral:rRNA from 1 species